GAUGAUGUAGAAGACUUCAACCCAAGAAGUCAAAGCAUGUCACAUCCGCAUCCAGCUGUGUAGGAUCAGGAAGCAGAUGUUCUUCUAAGGGACACCCUAGAGGCAGCAAGGUGGUGUGAACUGCAAACAUUUAAAGGCACUGUUUCCCUCCCUAAUGUAAUUGGGAUGGACGGGGAAGACCGCAUUACAACCCUUAUAGAAGUACGGUUGUAUGAUGGCCUGGAUGAAGAUGAACAUAUUCUCCUCAAGGAACCAUUCAUGUUCCAUUUACAGAGAGAUAAGAUGUUCUAUGUGGAGGAAGUUGACAACAAGAAAAGUACUGUCUUUGCCUCUUGAGGAGCAGGAGUGAAGCCAUUUUUGAGGAGUGGUCAAACCUUGUUUUUGUCUGCUGUGUUAAUUGUUUCAAUUGUUAAUUGUGUUAUGUUGUUCAGUGAAGAUGACAUAGCAUGAAGUGAAAAGUGUUUACAACUCACCUGCUGGUACUUUAUAGAAUAUUUCUUACGAUCUUCAAAAAUUAAAUAUGUUUGUAUUCAACGUG